rnacentral:rRNA from 1 species
UACGAAGGGGGCGAGCGUUGUUCGGAUUUACUGGGCGUAAAGGGCGCGCAGGCGGUCAUUUUUGUCGAGUGUGAAAGCCCCGGGCUUAACCUGGGAACUGCGCUCGAAACGGGAUGACUAGAGAUCGGGAGAGGAGAGUGGAAUUCCCAGUGUAGAGGUGAAAUUCGUAGAUAUUGGGAAGAACACCGGUGGCGAAGGCGGCAUCCUGGACCGGUAUUGACGCUGAGGCGCGAAAGCCAGGGGAGCAAACGGG